rnacentral:lncRNA from 1 species
GUUGAAGACAUAGAUCAUCUGAAAGAGGACCAGAAUGUUGGUUAUAUUCUCAACUUGCAACAGGACAGAGAAGUGGGGAAUCGACCUACUAUCUUGAUAAGUGUGUUUUUACACACUUAUUUAGAUCACAAACAUGACUUAAUUACGAGCAAAAUGAUUGAAUUGUGACUUAAUUUCGUUACAUUUGUGAAUUGUAGGGAACAUCGAUGAACAUGGUGAAAUUCAUGAGAAAAGACGCGAAAAAGGACUAAAAUGACACAAAGUGAAAGUUCAAGGACCAAGGUGCAAUUACCCAAAAGUUGACACGAUGAACAAAUCAAGGAAUUGAUUGAACCAAAUGCCAAUUGAUGAUGUCUUGGGAUGAUGGAAUGGAAAGAGUGAAGAAAAGAGGCCUGGAAGUGAAAGAUUCAAGUAAAGGGACUAAAUUGAAGAGAAUAGAAGUUGGAAUCUACCAUGCGGCCGCAUGGUAGAACUCCCGUGCAGCCGCACGAUUGAAUGCAGGAAUUUUUAUCGAAACAUGGAAUAGCCAUGCGGCCGCACGGAUUUAAAUCAUGGGGUCGUAUGGUAGUCUUUCCGAUGCGAAAUUUUCUUUCCUUAAACGAUUAAAACUCUUUUGGUAACCUAAUAUUUAGGGGAUAUAAACAUAAAAAAAGGUCCAGAAACGACGAGAACGCAUUGGGAGGCAGAAAAACACUUCUUGAAGAGGAUUUGGAGCGCAAGAACGAAGAUUGACUAUUAGAAUUUCAAGAUUUCUUCAAGCUUUUAUAAUCCGGUGAUACUUAUUACUCAAAACCUGAUGUAUUUUGUUAUUUUAACCAUGCUAGGCUAGAUUUUCAUGUACUAGGAGAUCGAUGAACCAUGUA